CAAUGGAAAAUUGCAUUACUUCUCAAAAGUCAUACCAACUUGCAUGACUAAAGGCUAUUUUUAGGCAACAAGGUAUUGUACCUGUCAAGGUACAAAUAUUGCUAUAAAAAACUUCUUUAUACCCAAUAUUAGUUUUUUCUUUAACUUAAAACAGGGAGGUGAAGAACUGUAAAAGAUCCUGCCUCAUCGAAGACUGUUGCAUAAUAACUUGCAAGACACUCAGCUGUGAUAUACCGUGUUGGCAUGGGCUGCAAGACUCAAGUGGCUUCUUCAUCAUUUCAGCAUCAGGACACCGUGCUGGAUGUGCAGCUGGCCCGGAUGUUAUUUAUUAAUAGGAGUUUAACUUCGUUCGUUGAGGUUGUUUUAACUGGUUUAAGUGAAGGCUUUCUCCGUUUCACAUGAGGAAAACCUAUGAAGAAACUGGUGUUCCUUGAGUUAUCGGGGAGGCUGAAGUGGAUUCUUGCGGUCUCCUCUCUUCUAUGCGGCAAAGCAUCUCCUAACACGAAGAAGUUCUGUAUGCAUUAAAGUGUGAUUACUUUUAGGAUCAUAGAGGAAAAUAAAACAAUAUUUAGAUUGUCAUAUUUACUAGUAGAAGAUUUGCAGAUAUUUCCGUCAGUGUGCACAUAAAUAAAGGAAAUUAAACAGA